rnacentral:ncRNA from 1 species
AAAAAAAUUUUAUUUUAGUUUAAAUAAUAAGUUAAUAAUUUUUUUACAUGUAAAUUAAAGUAGUGUUUAUAUAGAGUUUAGAGAGAUAUAUGUAUUAAUUAGUUUAUUCGCAGUAUUUAAUUUUGAUAAUUUAAGGAGACUUAGAGUUAGAAAUUUAGUUUAAUAUUAACAUAAUUUGUGCCAGCAGUUGCGGUUAUACAAAUAAUAUAAUUUAUUGUUAUUAAUUAAUAAUUAAUUGAAAUAUUAAAAAUUUUAAAUUAUAGUUUAUUAAGUGAAAUUUUAAAUUAUAAUGAAUUUUUAUUAAAGUUUAUGAAGUUAUUAAAUUUUAUUUAAAACUAGGAUUAGAUACCCUAUUAUAGAAAUGUAAAGAUAAAAAAUUAAAUUAUUAAUAGUUAAAGUCUUUAAAGUUAAAAAAUUUGGCGGUAUUUUAAUCUGUUCAGAGGAACCUGUCCUAUAAUUGAUAUUCCACGAUUAAAUUUACUUAGUUUAAUAAUUUGUAUAUCGUCGUAGUUGAAUAUUUUAAAAGAAUAUAAAUAUUCAAAAUUUUUUAAUAAAAAUAAAAUCAGAUCAAGAUGCAGUUUAUAAUUAAGAAGAGAUGGGUUACAAAAAAAUUAUUUAUGGAUUUGGUUUUGAAAAAAUUAAAGAAAUUGGAUUUGAUAGUAAUUAAAUUAUUAUUGGUUUAAUGAUUUUAGCUCUAAAAUAUGCACAUAUCGCCCGUCGCUCUCAUUUAAAUUGAGAUAAGUCGUAACAUAGUAAAUGUACUGGAAAGUGUAUUUAGGUUG